rnacentral:tRNA from 1 species
GUCGUUAGCUCAGUCGGUAGAGCAGCGGACUUUUAAUCCGUUGGUCGAGCGUUCGAAUCGCUCACGAC